GAAACACGGACCAAGGAGUUCAACUGGAUUGCGAGUCGUAGAGUUUCUCACAAAACUCGUCGGCGAAGCGAAAGCAAAAUAGUGCGAAGUAAUUUUUUUUACUGCAGCACAGGCUGAUUACGGAUAUGCAUAGAGCUUGCUGUGUGCAUACUUUAACCUUCGCGGUUAAAGACUAAUCAAGCUAAAGAGCACUUUAGUUGAGACCCGAAAGAUGGUGAACUAUGCUCGGACAUGGUGAAGCCAGGUGAAAACUUGGUGGAAGCUUGCGUUGUGCGGAACUGACGUGCAAAUCGUUGCCGCCUGACCUGAGUAUAGGGGCGAAAGACUCAUCGAACCAUCUAGUAGCUGGUUCCCUCCGAAGUUUCCCUCAGGAUAGCUCGAAUUUAUUUUUAUAAUAAUUUUAUUAUUACUCAAAGAGUAACACAAGGGUAAAGCAAUGAGACGCGGUAUCUGUGGGUCUUAUCUUAAUGACCUCGGCCUUCUCUCAAACUUUAAAUCUGUGCGAUUACGUGUGCUUACUUAAAAUGUAUGCUUUUGUCAUGCAGUGAAGUCACGUUUAUUGUAUCCAAAAUUCGUAGUGGGCCAUUUCUGGUAAGCAGAACUGGCGAUGAGGGAUUCAACCUGACGUUCUCAAGAUAAGCCGGGCUUAAUCAUAUCUGCUCCAACCUUCCGAUAAACGCGA
rnacentral:rRNA from 1 species